rnacentral:rRNA from 1 species
GAUGAACGCUGGCGGCGUGCCUAUUACAUGCAAGUCGAGCGAACGGACGAGAAGCUUGCUUCUCUGAUGUUAGCGGCGGACGGGUGAGUAACACGUGGAUAACCUACCUAUAAGACUGGGAUAACUUCGGGAAACCGGAGCUAAUACCGGAUAAUAUUUUGAACCGCAUGGUUCAAAAGUGAAAGACGGUCUUGCUGUCACUUAUAGAUGGAUCCGCGCUGCAUUAGCUAGUUGGUAAGGUAACGGCUUACCAAGGCAACGAUGCAUAGCCGACCUGAGAGGGUGAUCGGCCACACUGGAACUGAGACACGGUCCAGACUCCUACGGGAGGCAGCAGUAGGGAAUCUUCCGCAAUGGGCGAAAGCCUGACGGAGCAACGCCGCGUGAGUGAUGAAGGUCUUCGGAUCGUAAAACUCUGUUAUUAGGGAAGAACAUAUGUGUAAGUGACUGUGCACAUCUUGACGGUACCUAAUCAGAAAGCCACGGCUAACUACGUG